rnacentral:rRNA from 2 species
GGACUACUGGGGUAUCUAAUCCCGUUUGCUCCCCUGGCCUUCGUGCCUCAGUGUCAGGAACUGUCCAGAGACCCGCCUUCGCCACUGGUCUUCCUCAUGAUCUCUACGCAUUUCACUGCUACACCAUGAAUUCCAGUCUCCUCUCCAGUCCUCAAGCACCGCAGUAUCGAAUGCAGUUCCGAGGUUAAGCCUCAGGAUUUCACACCCGACUUACAGUGCCACCUACGCACCCUUUACGCCCAAUGAAUCCGAACAACGCUCGAGACCUCUGUAUUACCGCGGCUGCUGGCAC